rnacentral:rRNA from 1 species
UGGGGGAUAUUGCACAAUGGAGGAAACUCUGAUGCAGCGACGCCGCGUGAGGGAAGACGGUCUUCGGAUUGUAAACCUCUGUCUUAGGGGAAGAAAAUGACGGUACCCUAAGAGGAAGCUCCGGCUAACUACGUGCCAGCAGCCGCGGUAAUACGGAGGACCCGAGCGUUAUCCGGAUUUAUUGGGUUUAAAGGGUGCGUAGGCGGAUUAAUAAGUUAGAGGUGAAAGCUCGGCGCUCAACGUCGAAAUUGCCUCUAAUACUGUUAGUCUAGAGUAUAGUUGCGGAAGGCGGAAUGUGUGGUGUAGCGGUGAAAUGCUUAGAUAUCACGAAGAACUCCAAUUGCGAAGGCAGCUUGCUGGACUGUUACUGACGCUGAGGCUCGAAAGUGUGGGUAUCAAACA